GAUGAACGCUGGCGGCGUGCCUAAUACAUGCAAGUCGAGCGAACGGACGAGAAGCUUGCUUCUCUGAUGUUAGCGGCGGACGGGUGAGUAACACGUGGAUAACCUACCUAUAAGACUGGGAUAACUUCGGGAAACCGGAGCUAAUACCGGAUGAUAUUUUGAACCGCAUGGUUCAAAAGUGAAAGACGGUCUUGCUGUCACUUAUAGAUGGAUCCGCGCUGCAUUAGCUAGUUGGUAAGGUAACGGCUUACCAAGGCAACGAUGCAUAGCCGACCUGAGAGGGGGAUCGGCCACACUGGAACUGGGCCACGGUCCAGACUCCUACGGGAGGCCGCAGUAGGGAAUCUUCCGCAGUGGGCGAAAGCCUGACGGAGCAACGCCGCGUGAGUGAUGAAGGUCUUCGGAUCGUAAAACUCUGUUAUUAGGGAAGAACAUAUGUGUAAGUAACUGUGCACAUCUUGACGGUACCUAAUCAGAAAGCCACGGCUAACUACGUG
rnacentral:rRNA from 1 species